rnacentral:rRNA from 1 species
UACGUAGGGGGCAAGCGUUAUCCGGAUUUACUGGGUGUAAAGGGUGCGUAGGCGGCUUAGCAAGUCAGAAGUGAAAUCCAUGGGCUUAACCCAUGAACUGCUUUUGAAACUGCUAAGCUUGAGUGGAGUAGAGGUAAGUGGAAUUCCUAGUGUAGCGGUGAAAUGCGUAGAUAUUAGGAGGAACACCAGUGGCGAAGGCGGCUUACUGGACGAUGACUGACGCUGAGGCUCGAAAGCGUGGGGAGCAAACAGG